CCUGUUUGCUACAAAAUCUUAUCCCUACCCACAGUAGCCGGCAGCAAUAGACUCCUCGAAUGCACUACAAGGCAUCCACUGUGCAGAGUGGGCAUGUCGUCGACCAAUCAAAUUUCACCGAUGCUCCGCCCCUUACUGAACUGUACUGCACUGUGUAAAAUAAAGGACGCUCGCUAGGAUUCUCAUCUGUAAUUUCCACUGGUGCCUGAAAUAAUUAUAAUAAAUUUCAUAUAACUCCUGGCCUGGUACAUUAUCACAAUGUUCAUUGCGGAUAAAUCUGCACUCUGCAGAACGCUUCACAUGAAUAUGCAUG